UCCAGGUGUGGUGGUGCACACCUGUAGUCCCAGCUACUCAGGAGGCUGAGGUGGGAGGAUCACUUGAACCCAGGAAGUCAAGUCUGCAGUGAGCUGUGAUCAUGCCACUGCACUCCAGCCUGGGUGACAAAGUGAGACCCUGUCUCAA
rfam:Homo sapiens chromosome 2, GRCh38 reference primary assembly.